rnacentral:rRNA from 1 species
UACGAAGGGGGCUAGCGUUGCUCGGAAUCACUGGGCGUAAAGCGCACGUAGGCGGAUUGUUAAGUCAGGGGUGAAAUCCUGGAGCUCAACUCCAGAACUGCCUUUGAUACUGGCGAUCUCGAGUCCGGGAGAGGUGAGUGGAACUGCGAGUGUAGAGGUGAAAUUCGUAGAUAUUCGCAAGAACACCAGUGGCGAAGGCGGCUCACUGGCCCGGUACCGACGCUGAGGUGCGAAAGCGUGGGGAGCAAACAGG